CCUGUCCCUAGAGGCAUUGCAGGUGUGGCAGCUGUGUUGCGUGCGCGGCAAUAGGUAGCAAAGAGAAGUGAAGCUGUGUAUAUGCCCAGUGUCCUGACCCAUGGACAGACAUCUGAAUAAUUACUAGCCUAACACU